UAGGGAAUCUUCCACAAUGGGCGAAAGCCUGAUGGAGCAACGCCGCGUGAGUGAUGAAGGCCUUCGGGUUGUAAAACUCUGUCAUUCGGGACGAACCGGAGUCUGAGGAAAUGCAGACUCUCUGACGGUACCGGAGGAGGAAGCCCCGGCUAACUACGUGCCAGCAGCCGCGGUAAUACGUAGGGGGCAAGCGUUGUCCGGAUUCACUGGGCGUAAAGCGCGCGCAGGCGGUGAUGUAAGUCUGAGGUGAAAACCCGAAGCUCAACUUCGGGACUGCCUUGGAUACUGCGUCACUUGAGGAUAGGAGAGGCAUGGGGAAUUCCACGUGUAGCGGUGAAAUGCGUAGAGAUGUGGAGGAACACCUGUGGCGAAGGCGCCUUGCUGGCCUAUUUCUGACGCUGAGGCGCGAAAGCGUGGGGAGCAAACAGG
rnacentral:rRNA from 1 species